UACGAAGGGAGCUAGCGUUGUUCGGAAUUACUGGGCGUAAAGGGUGCGUAGGCGGUUUGACAAGUCAGAUGUGAAAGCCCCGAGCUCAACUCGGGAACUGCGUUUGAUACUGUCAUACUAGAAUUCGGAAGAGGUGAGUGGAAUUCCCAGUGUAGAGGUGAAAUUCGUAGAUAUUGGGAAGAACACCGGUGGCGAAGGCGGCUCACUGGUCCGACAUUGACGCUGAGGCACGAAAGCGUGGGGAGCAAACGGG
rnacentral:rRNA from 1 species